UGCGGUGAGGCGGGGCAGGCGGCAGAACGGCCCCACCUGCCCGCACUGGGGAGAAACUCCCUCCUGGCGCCGCCGGGCGGGGAAACGGCGGUCCUCACCUCACGGCGGGGUGGGGGAAGCAGUUUUUGAGGGUCCCGUCAGACUGGUUCUCCUGCAGCCACCCAGUAAGUGGAGACACUCCUGAGCAGACUUGCAAAGCUACUAGUCUCCUCUCUCAAAUUAACCUGACCAUUCAUUUCCACCCAGCCAACAUUAAGAAUAUUCAGAGGGACUGAUUGCUUACAACUGCUGCUACUGGCCAUCAAAACUUGCUAAGAUACCUGUGUUCUGCAAGGGGCAACUAGCCAGAAGCAACAACAGCAGAGUGGCAAAACAAAAGAUUUGGGAUUUCUGCUUCCUAGAAGACACCAGGCUGUGAUGACUCUAAUGUUGAAAUGGACAGUAAAGCAGACUGCCAUUCUCAUGAUAGGGACACCAAAUGGCAUCCUGAGCCAGAGAGAUGUACAUCUGCUCAGUGCUUAGCAUAGUGCUGCUCUUCUUGGGAGAGUAUUUUCCAUAACUUCUAUUUAUCUAGAAAAGCAGUAUUGGAAAGCAAAAUCCAACCUAUCUAGCAGCACAGUCUACAACAUCUAUAAGGACUAUUUGCCAGCUGUAAGGGAAACUUUGGUUCCUGCCUGU